rnacentral:pre_miRNA from 1 species
CAAGUACUCCCUCCGUUCCGAAUUACUUGUCGCACGUACGGAUUUAUCUAAUGUAUUUUAGUUCUAGGUACAUCCAUUUUAGCGACGAGUAAUUUGGAACGGAGGGAGUAAUUG